GGAGGUGUAGUUCAAUGGUGAGAACAGCGGUCUUAUAAGCCGUAGGUUACAGGUUCGACUCCUGUCAUCUCCA
rnacentral:tRNA from 1 species